rnacentral:rRNA from 1 species
UACGGAGGGGACUAGCGUUGUUCGGAAUUACUGGGCGUAAAGCGCACGUAGGCGGAUUUGUAAGUCAGGGGUGAAAUCCCGGGGCUCAACCUCGGAACUGCCUUUGAUACUGCAAAUCUCGAGUCCGGAAGAGGUGAGUGGAAUUCCGAGUGUAGAGGUGAAAUUCGUAGAUAUUCGGAGGAACACCAGUGGCGAAGGCGGCUCACUGGUCCGGUACUGACGCUGAGGUGCGAAAGCGUGGGGAGCAAACAGG